rnacentral:rRNA from 1 species
UUUCCGGUUGAUCCAGCCAGAGGCCAUUGCUAUCGGAGUCCGAUUUAGCCAUGCUAGUCGUACGAGUUCACACUCGUGGCGGAUAGCUCAGUAACACGUGGCCAAGCUUCCCUUCAGCGCUGGAUACCCUCGGGAAACUGAGGUCAAUCCGGCAUACACCUCUCAGACUGGAGUGUCGAGAGGCAGAAACGCUUUUUGAGUGCUGGAGGAUGCGGCUGCGGCCGAUUAGGUAGACGGUGGGGUAACGGCCCACCGUGCCCAUAAUCGGUACGGGUCAUGAGAGUGAGAGCCCGGAGACGGAAUCUGAGACAAGAUUCCGGGCCCUACGGGGCGCAGCAGGCGCGAAACCUUUACACUGCACGCCAGUGCGAUAAGGGGACUCCGAGUGCGAGGGCAUAUCGUCCUCGCUAUCGUGGACUGUAGGGCAGUCCACUAUCAAGAGCUGGGCAAGACCGGUGCCAGCCGCCGCGGUAAUACCGGCAGCUCGAGUGAUGGCCGAUCUUAUUGGGCCUAAAGCGUCCGUAGCCGGCCUCGCAAGUCCGUCGGGAAAUCCAUCAGCUCAACUGAUGGGCGUCCGGCGGAAACUCCGAGGCUUGGGACCGGAAGGCUCGAGGGGUACGUCCGGGGUAGGAGUGAAAUCCUGUAAUCCCGCACGGACCACCGAUGGCGAAAGCACCUCGAGAAGACGGAUCCGACGGUGAGGGACGAAAGCUAGGGUCUCGAACCGGAUUAGAUACCCGGGUAGUCCUAGCCGUAAACGAUGCUCGCUAGGUGUGGCACAGGCUACGCGCCUGUGCUGUGCCGUAGGGAAGCCGAGAAGCGAGCCGCCUGGGAAGUACGUCUGCAAGGAUGAAACUUAAAGGAAUUGGCGGGGGAGCACUACAACCGGAGGAGCCUGCGGUUUAAUUGGAUUCAACGCCGGA